GGGUUGUGAGGUUAAGCGACUAAGCGUACACGGUGGAUGCCCUGGCAGUCAGAGGCGAUGAAGGACGUGCUAAUCUGCGAUAAGCGUCGGUAAGGUGAUAUGAACCGUUAUAACCGGCGAUUUCCGAAUGGGGAAACCCAGUGUGUUUCGACACACUAUCAUUAACUGAAUCCAUAGGUUAAUGAGGCGAACCGGGGGAACUGAAACAUCUAAGUACCCCGAGGAAAAGAAAUCAACCGAGAUUCCCCCAGUAGCGGCGAGCGAACGGGGAGCAGCCCAGAGCCUGAAUCAGUGUGUGUGUUAGUGGAAGCGUCUGGAAAGGCGCGCGAUACAGGGUGACAGCCCCGUACACAAAAAUGCACAUGCUGUGAGCUCGAUGAGUAGGGCGGGACACGUGGUAUCCUGUCUGAAUAUGGGGGGACCAUCCUCCAAGGCUAAAUACUCCUGACUGACCGAUAGUGAACCAGUACCGUGAGGGAAAGGCGAAAAGAACCCCGGCGAGGGGAGUGAAAAAGAACCUGAAACCGUGUACGUACAAGCAGUGGGAGCACGCUUAGGCGUGUGACUGCGUACCUUUUGUAUAAUGGGUCAGCGACUUAUAUUCUGUAGCAAGGUUAACCGAAUAGGGGAGCCGAAGGGAAACCGAGUCUUAACUGGGCGUUAAGUUGCAGGGUAUAGACCCGAAACCCGGUGAUCUAGCCAUGGGCAGGUUGAAGGUUGGGUAACACUAACUGGAGGACCGAACCGACUAAUGUUGAAAAAUUAGCGGAUGACUUGUGGCUGGGGGUGAAAGGCCAAUCAAACCGGGAGAUAGCUGGUUCUCCCCGAAAGCUAUUUAGGUAGCGCCUCGUGAAUUCAUCUCCGGGGGUAGAGCACUGUUUCGGCAAGGGGGUCAUCCCGACUUACCAACCCGAUGCAAACUGCGAAUACCGGAGAAUGUUAUCACGGGAGACACACGGCGGGUGCUAACGUCCGUCGUGAAGAGGGAAACAACCCAGACCGCCAGCUAAGGUCCCAAAGUCAUGGUUAAGUGGGAAACGAUGUGGGAAGGCCCAGACAGCCAGGAUGUUGGCUUAGAAGCAGCCAUCAUUUAAAGAAAGCGUAAUAGCUCACUGGUCGAGUCGGCCUGCGCGGAAGAUGUAACGGGGCUAAACCAUGCACCGAAGCUGCGGCAGCGACGCUUAUGCGUUGUUGGGUAGGGGAGCGUUCUGUAAGCCUGUGAAGGUGUGCUGUGAGGCAUGCUGGAGGUAUCAGAAGUGCGAAUGCUGACAUAAGUAACGAUAAAGCGGGUGAAAAGCCCGCUCGCCGGAAGACCAAGGGUUCCUGUCCAACGUUAAUCGGGGCAGGGUGAGUCGACCCCUAAGGCGAGGCCGAAAGGCGUAGUCGAUGGGAAACAGGUUAAUAUUCCUGUACUUGGUGUUACUGCGAAGGGGGGACGGAGAAGGCUAUGUUGGCCGGGCGACGGUUGUCCCGGUUUAAGCGUGUAGGCUGGUUUUCCAGGCAAAUCCGGAAAAUCAAGGCUGAGGCGUGAUGACGAGGCACUACGGUGCUGAAGCAACAAAUGCCCUGCUUCCAGGAAAAGCCUCUAAGCAUCAGGUAACAUCAAAUCGUACCCCAAACCGACACAGGUGGUCAGGUAGAGAAUACCAAGGCGCUUGAGAGAACUCGGGUGAAGGAACUAGGCAAAAUGGUGCCGUAACUUCGGGAGAAGGCACGCUGAUAUGUAGGUGAAGUCCCUCGCGGAUGGAGCUGAAAUCAGUCGAAGAUACCAGCUGGCUGCAACUGUUUAUUAAAAACACAGCACUGUGCAAACACGAAAGUGGACGUAUACGGUGUGACGCCUGCCCGGUGCCGGAAGGUUAAUUGAUGGGGUUAGCCGCAAGGCGAAGCUCUUGAUCGAAGCCCCGGUAAACGGCGGCCGUAACUAUAACGGUCCUAAGGUAGCGAAAUUCCUUGUCGGGUAAGUUCCGACCUGCACGAAUGGCGUAAUGAUGGCCAGGCUGUCUCCACCCGAGACUCAGUGAAAUUGAACUCGCUGUGAAGAUGCAGUGUACCCGCGGCAAGACGGAAAGACCCCGUGAACCUUUACUAUAGCUUGACACUGAACAUUGAGCCUUGAUGUGUAGGAUAGGUGGGAGGCUUUGAAGUGUGGACGCCAGUCUGCAUGGAGCCGACCUUGAAAUACCACCCUUUAAUGUUUGAUGUUCUAACGUUGACCCGUAAUCCGGGUUGCGGACAGUGUCUGGUGGGUAGUUUGACUGGGGCGGUCUCCUCCUAAAGAGUAACGGAGGAGCACGAAGGUUGGCUAAUCCUGGUCGGACAUCAGGAGGUUAGUGCAAUGGCAUAAGCCAGCUUGACUGCGAGCGUGACGGCGCGAGCAGGUGCGAAAGCAGGUCAUAGUGAUCCGGUGGUUCUGAAUGGAAGGGCCAUCGCUCAACGGAUAAAAGGUACUCCGGGGAUAACAGGCUGAUACCGCCCAAGAGUUCAUAUCGACGGCGGUGUUUGGCACCUCGAUGUCGGCUCAUCACAUCCUGGGGCUGAAGUAGGUCCCAAGGGUAUGGCUGUUCGCCAUUUAAAGUGGUACGCGAGCUGGGUUUAGAACGUCGUGAGACAGUUCGGUCCCUAUCUGCCGUGGGCGCUGGAGAACUGAGGGGGGCUGCUCCUAGUACGAGAGGACCGGAGUGGACGCAUCACUGGUGUUCGGGUUGUCAUGCCAAUGGCACUGCCCGGUAGCUAAAUGCGGAAGAGAUAAGUGCUGAAAGCAUCUAAGCACGAAACUUGCCCCGAGAUGAGUUCUCCCUGACUCCUUGAGAGUCCUGAAGGAACGUUGAAGACGACGACGUUGAUAGGCCGGGUGUGUAAGCGCAGCGAUGCGUUGAGCUAACCGGUACUAAUGAACCGUGAGGCUUAACCUUACAACGCCGAAG
rnacentral:rRNA from 1 species